CACGUAGGCGGCGUGAUAAGUUGGGUGUGAAAGCCCUGGGCUCAACCCAGGAAGUGCAUUCAAAACUGUCACGCUUGAAUCUCGGAGGGGGUCAGAGAAUUCCCGGUGUAGAGGUGAAAUUCGUAGAUAUCGGGAGGAAUACCAGUGGCGAAGGCGCUGACCUGGACGAAGAUUGACGCUGAGGUGCGAAAGCGCGGGGAGCAAACA
rnacentral:rRNA from 1 species